rnacentral:tRNA from 1 species
GGUGUUGUGGCUCAGUGAUAGUGCGCUUGCCUAGCAAGCAUGAGGCCCUGGGUUCGAUCCUCAGCACCACAU